UACGGAGGGGGCUAGCGUUGUUCGGAAUUACUGGGCGUAAAGCGCGCGCAGGCGGUCGAUCAAGUCGAGUGUGAAAGCCCCCGGCUCAACUGGGGAGGGUCAUUCGAUACUGAUCGACUCGAAGGCAGGAGAGGGUAGUGGAAUUCCCGGUGUAGUGGUGAAAUGCGUAGAUAUCGGGAGGAACACCAGUGGCGAAGGCGACUACCUGGCCUGUUCUUGACGCUGAGGCGCGAAAGCUAGGGUAGCAAACG
rnacentral:rRNA from 1 species